rnacentral:rRNA from 1 species
CAUAUGCUUGUCUCAAAGAUUAAGCCAUGCAUGUCUAAGUAUAAGCACUUGUACUGUGAAACUGCGAAUGGCUCAUUAAAUCAGUUAUUGUUUACUUGAUUGUACACUUCUUACAUGGAUAUCUGUGGUAAUUCUAGAGCUAAUACAUGCGAAAGGUCCCAACCUUUACAGGAAGGGAUGUAUUUAUUAGAGUAAAAACCAAUGGAGUCUUUCGGGGCUCGCAUUCAAGAUGACUCAUGAUAACUGUUCGAAUCGUACGGCCUUGCGCCGACGAUGUUUCUUUCAAAUUUCUGCCCUAUCAACUGUCGAUGGUACGGUAGUGGCCUACCAUGGUUUUUACGGGUGACGGAGAAUCAGGGUUCGGUUCCGGAGAGGGAGCCUGAGAAACGGCUACCACAUCUAAGGAAGGCAGCAGGCACGGAAAUUACCCAAUCCCAAUUCGGGGAGGUAGUGACAAGAAAUAACGAUAAGGGGUCUUCACAGGUCUCGCAAUCGGAAUG